GGCGCUGUUACUUUGAAAAAAUUAGAGUGUUCAAAGCGGGCUUGCGCUUGAAUAUAUUAGCAUGGAAUAACACUAUAGGACUCCGAUCCUAUUUUGUUGGUCUUCGGGACUGGAGUAAUGAUUAAGAGGAACAGUUGGGGGCAUUCGUAUUUCAUUGUCAGAGGUGAAAUUCUUGGAUUUAUGAAAGACGAACUUCUGCGAAAGCAUUUGCCAAGGAUGUUUUCAUUAAUCAAGAACGAAAGUU
rnacentral:rRNA from 12 species